rnacentral:rRNA from 1 species
CAGCAGCCGCGGUAAUACGUAGGUGGCAAGCGUUGUCCGGAAUUAUUGGGCGUAAAGGGCUCGCAGGCGGUUUCUUAAGUCUGAUGUGAAAGCCCCCGGCUCAACCGGGGAGGGUCAUUGGAAACUGGGAAACUUGAGUGCAGAAGAGGAGAGUGGAAUUCCACGUGUAGCGGUGAAAUGCGUAGAGAUGUGGAGGAACACCAGUGGCGAAGGCGACUCUCUGGUCUGUAACUGACGUUGAGGAGCGAAAGCGUGGGGAGCGAACAGGAUUAGAUACCCCCGUAGUCCCUGUCUCUUAUAC